rnacentral:rRNA from 1 species
AUUGAACGCUGGCGGCAUGCUUUACACAUGCAAGUCGAACGGUAACAGGCUGCACUAUGGUGUCGCGUGGCGGUCGGUUGUGUAAUGCAUCGGACCGUGCCCUGUCGUGUGGGUUAACUACUCAGCAGCUUAUCUAAUAUCCCACCCGAUCUUUGGAUCGAGGGGGGGGACCGUCUCGCCUCGUUCGAUUGGAGCGGCCGAUAUUAGAUUAGGUAGUUGGUGGGGUAAAGGCACACCAAGCCAACGUUCGGUAGCUGGUCUGAGAGGACGACCAGCCACACUGGGACUGAGACACGGCCCAGACUCCUACGGGAGGCAGCAGUGGGGAAUUUUGGACAAUGGGCGCAAGCCUGAUCCAGCAAUGCCGCGUGCGGGAAGAAGGCCUUCGGGUUGUAAACCGCUUUUGUAAGGAACGAAACGGUUCUGGCUAAUACCCGGGGCUAAUGACGGUACCGGAAGAAUAAGCACCGGCUAACUACGUG